UCUCAGUAUUACUACAAGCAGAAUACAUUUUCACCACUACUCUGUGAUAUGUGUACUGUAAUGAUGACUGGGGUAGACUGGAAGCUAAUUGGUGGAAGAGUUUUGAGGGCGGGACCGCUCCGACAGCCUGGAGCUGCAGUGGAGACAUUCUGACUGAAGAGUUCAGGAACGCCCGUGAAAUUCUCUCAAUGCGGGUCUGCGCAGAAGUCACAAACUCGGCUCUCACGAAAUCAUUGGUGUUUCGACUCAGAUCCGUGGGCGUGGCUUGUUAGUUUUGACUAAAUCAUUGGUAUUUCAAGUCUUACGAAACCUUUACCCUAACAUAACUCUAACCGUAUAAAAUACCUAUGAUUGUUAAACUUUCCAAAAAAAACGGUUGCGUGAUGACGUCAACUCGAAACACCAAGGAUUUCAGAUGAGAACGUGUUAACGGUUGCUUAGCAACCAUACAGAACACCUUAGCAACAGUGUUGAGAUGUUUGGGUAUACUUACUUACCCGCUGUGUGACAAACUUUAGCUCCGCGCACGACACAGACUUCUCCAUGACAACAGAUAUUUACAUUUAAGUGAACAGUGUUCAAAUCUUCUGGCAGAGGAAACCUGAUGGGAGUUUUUCUCAAGUCCACGUGGAGAAGCAUUCCAUCGGUCAGCACUAAAGCUGUGGGCUCAGACGUGUGUAUAGAGUUCACAAACCUCUACAAACACCCAGAGGGUUCAGAGGAGGAGCGUAUGGCUGUAGAGACACUUGUUGGUCAACAAUAAAGAUCUCACACAGUUCAUAACA